rnacentral:rRNA from 1 species
CCUGCACGAAUGGCGUAAUGAUGGCCAGGCUGUCUCCACCCGAGACUCAGUGAAAUUGAACUCGCUGUGAAGAUGCAGUGUACCCGCGGCAAGACGGAAAGACCCCGUGAACCUUUACUAUAGCUUGACACUGAACAUUGAGCCUUGAUGUGUAGGAUAGGUGGGAGGCUUUGAAGCGUGGACGCCAGUCUGCGUGGAGCCGACCUUGAAAUACCACCCUUUAAUGUUUGAUGUUCUAACGUGGACCCGUGAUCCGGGUUGCGGACAGUGUCUGGUGGGUAGUUUGACUGGGGCGGUCUCCUCCUAAAGAGUAACGGAGGAGCACGAAGGUUGGCUAAUCCUGGUCGGACAUCAGGAGGUUAGUGCAAUG